UACAGAGGGGGCAAGCGUUGUUCGGAAUUACUGGGCGUAAAGGGCGCGUAGGCGGCCUGUUAAGUCGGACGUGAAAUCCCUCGGCUCAACCGGGGAACUGCGUCCGAUACUGGCGGGCUUGAAUUCGGGAGAGGGAUGUGGAAUUCCAGGUGUAGCGGUGAAAUGCGUAGAUAUCUGGAGGAACACCAAUGGCGAAGGCAGCUCGCUGGGACGGUACUGACGCUGAGACGCGAAAGCGUGGGGAGCAAACAGG
rnacentral:rRNA from 1 species